rnacentral:misc_RNA from 1 species
CGGAGUUGCAAGACUCCCUAAACCAUUGUGAACCUACCUUCUACCGUUGCUUCGGCGGGCGGGCCCAGCGCCCCCCCCGGCCCCCCGCGGGCGCCCGCCGGAGGAUACCCAAACUCUUGACAUUAGUGGCCUCUCUGAGUAUUCUUUACUGAAUAAGUCA